rnacentral:rRNA from 1 species
AUUGAACGCUGGCGGCAUGCCUUACACAUGCAAGUCGAACGGUAACAGGUCUUCGGAUGCUGACGAGUGGCGAACGGGUGAGUAAUACAUCGGAACGUGCCUAGUAGUGGGGGAUAACUACUCGAAAGAGUGGCUAAUACCGCAUGAGAUCUACGGAUGAAAGCAGGGGAUCGCAAGACCUUGUGCUACUAGAGCGGCCGAUGGCGGAUUAGGUAGUUGGUGGGAUAAAGGCUUACCAAGCCGACGAUCUGUAGCUGGUCUGAGAGGACGAUCAGCCCCACUGGGACUGAGACACGGCCAGACUCCUACGGGAGGCAGCAGUGGGGAAUUUUGGACAAUGGGCGAAAGCCUGAUCCAGCAAUGCCGCGUGCAGGAUGAAGGCCUUCGGGUUGUAAACUGCUUUUGUACGGAACGAAAAGCUCUGGGUUAAUACCCUGGGGUCAUGACGGUACCGUAAGAAUAAGCACCGGCUAACUACGUGCCAGCAGCCGCCGUAAUAC